GGUUGAAUGAAUGGAAACAUAAAAUGUAUUCCAAAACAUUUCCAGUCACUGGAAAUGGGAUUCUAAAUGCAAUUAAAUGGGCAGUGAUAGUUUAUGAAAUAUCUGUUUCUGUCUCACAACAUGUGAUAUGUGAUAUUGUUUACUUAUAACCCCCAGAAAUUAAUGAUGUUGGUAAUAAAGUUUGGAAUUCUUUAAAAAGGUUCCAAGUUUCAUUUUGCUCUGAAAUUUCAAUGAAGCUUGUUUACAGAACUUGCAAGGGGGGAAAAUGGCACAGUACAUACUACACUUAAAUUCCUAGGUAUCUUUGUCCCAAAAAAGAAGCCAAAACAAAAAAGCAGGAGAAAAACUGAAAGCUAAAGAGAUAUGGAGCUAUAAUGUUGACAAUGGAAAAUUUUCAGACUAAGAAAAUAAUAAAGCACAAGCAGCAAAUAAAAACGGAUCUUUUCGACUGAAUAUUUCUAAAAGUGUCAGUUGCAAAUUAAGAAGCAAAGAAACUGUGAAAGGAAGCAGAAAGACACACAUAAAACUGUCAAGAGAAAGUCAACUGUGUGCCAAAAGAAGAUUUACAAGCGGAUAUAACAAAAAGCAUUGAUGUUCUCCAGCUAUUGUUCUCAAGAAGGAGGGAAGAAGAUCGAGACAACAUACCUGUUCUCCCAGACCAGAAGUGAUCCUGACUUUCAAGGAGUUACACAAAGAUUCAGAUCAGAAAGCGAACACUGCAAGAUCUAACUAAAUAUGGCUUAAAGGAGAACCAUCUCAUAAAAUAUGAAAAUCCCAGGAAACAAAAACAAAUACUCAUUAGAAAACCAUAUGGUACUUGCUGUUUGUUGGAGGCUUUUUUAAAAGCUUAAUUCUACUUACAAGCUUAUAAUUUGAGGCGACCCGGCACUUCCCAAAUCUGUACUGAUGUUACAUUUGGGAAACUGUUUUUAUUUGUAAAGCUGGAACCCUAAAAUGAUAUUUCUACUUGUAUGUGUUAAUCUAUUGAGCUAGGAGCCUACAAUGUAGAUGAAUAUAUCGAUGAGAGAGGAAAAGUAUAUAGCCCAUUCCAAUAACAUAUUGACAACAUUGUCUUGUCUUAAAUAAGACAAUGUUGCCUGCCCUGGUUUUCAUUGUUUUCUCCGAUUUGGGUUGUAAUAUAUAUACGAUGAUUUUGCACUGUUAUAUUGUGUUAUGAUUUGCUGUUUAUUUUGUUAUAUUGUAUGGUGUCUGGGCAUGGCCCCAUGUAAGCCGCCCCGAGUCCCCAUAGGGGAGAUGGUGGCGGGGUAUAAAUAAAGUUUUAUUAUUAUUAUUAUUAUUAUUAUUAUUAUUAUUAUUAUUAUUAUUAUUAAAUAGAAUAUAUUCUAAAUUAGGAGCUGACUGCUGCUGCAUAAAAGUAACAAACAGGAAAUCUGGCUGCUUCAUUAUAAGUAAACUGACUAAUUGGAAACCAGUACAAAGGACAUCAAUAAUUUCAUAAGCAUUAAAAACUGUCAGACUUUUUUUAUUUCUAAAUACAACACAAUCCAGUUGAAGGUAAGCACCUGUCUGCAUAAACCUUCGCAUGUUUACUCAUAAGUGGCACUUCAGCUGAAGUCUUAAACAUGCCUACAAAUAUGUAAGCUCAAUUGAGUAAGAUCCAAGUAGAAAUUCACUUGAACCGUGGGAAUUUUCCAUUCUCUUUGUAACUCUAUCUGCCCCUAUAACUUCUACAAGUGCUUUCCCGACUAUCUGGACCAGAGUUUCUUUCCGGGCUCUUUUAGAAGGGAGACCAUUCCUUUACACUACAUUGACAGAAGCUGGAAGAUUUAAUUGAGUAUCACUCAAUUAAGUUAAGCACUUUUGUCAUGCCGCUUAAGUGCUUAACCCAGUGAAACUUAUGCACUAGUAAAUUUACACAGGACUACACCUUUUUAACUGCCAUGUGGAUUCAGUGAGAGUUUAAGGCUUCAGCUCUGUGCUUGUUAUGUCCCAGUAAGCUUAGUAAGACUGAUUUAUGACUAGGUCCAUAGAGGACUUCUAAGCACACACCUCGCUCUCACUGAUCUCAGAAGUGUACACAUUAAAACAACAUAUACAUCUGACUGGAUUAUGCCCAUAGUUCAGUGAAAAUAUAGACAUUGAAGGUUAUCCCCAAAUUUAUGCUCACUUUUGUCUCUUGUAAGAUGGGCUUUUUUCCUAGUGGUUUUCAUCUCAGAAGGACCCAAACUGGUAACUGCUCCUCUCAAAUGCCUUUUUGAAC
rnacentral:lncRNA from 1 species